ensembl:lncRNA
UUCCUCUGCAGGCCAUCAAGCCUCUGCAACUCAUCCAGAAUGCAGCAGCAUGGCUCAUCUUCCCUAAGUUCAGCCCCACUGCCCCACUGCUGCGCUCCCUUCACUGGCUUCCUGUAGCAUCACACAUUAGAUUUAGAACCCUAAUGCUUGCUUACAAAGCCAGCCCCUCCCUACUUGAUGGCAGUGGUCAAAACUCAAACUGUACCACGAUCCCUUCAAGCUUCGAGUACAGCUCGGCUUGACCCGCCAUCCUUCAAGACAACGUGGAAGACAAGCAUCAAGACUUUUCUCUGUACUGGAACCCAGGUGGUGUCAUUCCUUUUUCUCAACAGGGACAUUUUGUUUCUAGUAUUGUCUGAGCUCAGGUCUGCUAAAUGCUGUAAAUGUGAAUGUAAAGAAGUAAAGUAGAGAGAUGAGAUGAAGUUCUUAACUUGCAAAAAAAAAAAGAUUGUGAUGUUUAAAGUGCUCUUAAUUAAGCAAUAAUGAAGAUAAAUGAAGUACUCUUAAGAAGUAAAGGACAGCCAGUUAAUUACCAGCUAUUUGGUUGAAGAGGCCUAAUAAGGGCAUUACAUGCACAAUAAAAUGUCCAACUGAAAUAAAGUAUUCUGCAGACUUCAUGAGACCCUAUGGCUUUUCAUUUUUGUGUACUAUGUACAUUAAGAACACACAAUCCUACAGUUAUUUUAUUUAAAUGUGCAACAAACAUUAACAUACAUGAGCAUGCAUACUUUAAUCCUGUCCCAAACAUAAAAAAAAUGUUUUUCUUGAAUAUUCAAAUGUUGUGAAGAGACAUAUAAACUACAAACCAGCUGCUUUAAUAUUUACACUGCUUUUGUACAGGAAUGCAGUUCAGACUUUCCUCACAUGGGGGUACUAUACACAUUCAAACUUGAGAGAAAACCCUGUUUUACAUGUUUUACAUCAACUGGCAGUGAAGUGUAAACUCAGUCUGAAGAAGGAGCUUCUCAAGAUAAUCACCAUGAUCAGAGUGGGCAGCAUUAUUUGGACUGCAGUGCUAUGUCUGACUGGAUUUUCUCACAGUACUCAUGUCAUCCAGACUCCCUCUAAUCUGAUUAUGAAUCAAAAGGAAUCUGCUACAAUCAAGUGUUGGCACAAUGUAACGAGUUAUAAUCAAAUCAACUGGUACAAACAAACUCAAGAACAAGAGUUGAUUUUUAUUGGAUAUUACUUAGGAAAGUCAACACCCAACAAGGAAAAAGAGUUUGAGACUAAAGUGAACAUGACUGGAGAUGGAAACAGUGAUGUCUCUUUGACUAUCACAGGUCUUUCACUCACAGACACUGCAGUGUAUUUCUGUGCUGCAUAUUACACAGUGCUGCAGAGCUGCUCUAUUCAGUGCAAAAACGUCUUGGAAAUAUUGCCAAAG